GAACCACUGCUGCCCCGGCUACAAUUGUACAGCCACUAUCAGCUGGCUACUUGUCGGAGCCCAGAACCACUGUUGCCCCAGCUCCAAGCCAGCCAAAUGCAGUGGACUGCAUGUCAGAGCCUAGUACAAGCUGCACACAAGUGCAGAGCACUGCAAGGGCUUCGACACCAGAGCCAGCGCUAGAAGAUGGCUUCAUCAGCGAGAUGCCAGGCAUGGUGCCAAAUGACUUCGCUGACAUUGACCUGUUCGCUGAAGAAGAGGCCGUCGAUGUGGUAAUCGGAUCCUCAAGAGAUGAUGGAAAGAU